rnacentral:misc_RNA from 1 species
GACUGGUGGGCCGAUAAUGCAGAACGUGUAGGCGCAUGAGUGGUGUUUUGCUUGUUUCGGUCGAUUGGAUCCUUGCUCUGGCAACGACGUUCGUCCUCACGUGCAUCUUCACUUGUGUCUCGUGAUACGUGUGAUCUCGAGUUUUGCAAUGGUUUCUUGUAUUGCGUACCUCUUAAGAUGGCAGUCGACAGUCCAAACGUCACAUUUCGCCUUUCGUUGUCCCUCUUUGGGGCCACGCGGGGUGAACCACGAAGCAAUCUCUGCUGCCCACUCCUCUCGCAUUCGUUUGUGGUUGUGGAUUGGUCCGCAGGGUAUUCGCUUGAGCUCUCGGUUGCGGUGCAUUACAUACGGGCACGAGGACUCGCGUCCUCUAUCUGCCCGAACAAAAGCUUUCAUCGCUUAGCUGCGAACGAUUGCGAUCCCCGUUUCGAGCCUUCGGGCUAGUGCGGCGAUCGCUUCGUAUAGGAAUGCUACCUGG